CGCACAGCUCAGUAACACGUGGCUAACCUGCCCUUGGGACAGGGAUACCCCCGGGAAACUGGGGCUAAUCCCCGAUAGGUGAAGAACUCUGGAAUGGGUCUUUGCCCAAAAGACGUGUGCGUCAUGCUUGCAGGCGUCGCCCAAGGAUGGGGCCGCGACCGAUCAGGUUGUUGGUGAGGUAAUGGCCCACCAAGCCUAUAACCGGUGCGGGCCGUGAGAGCGGGAGCCCGGAGAUGGGCACUGAGACAAGGGCCCAGGUCCUACGGGGCGCAGCAGUCGCGAAAACUUUGCAGUACACGAAAGUGUGACAGAGUCAUCCCGAGUGCCGGCCGCUGAGGUUGGCUUUUACCCAGUCUAGAAAGCUGGGGGAAUAAGGAGAGGGCAAGUCUGGUGUCAGCCGCCGCGGUAAUACCAGCUCUCCGAGUGGUGUGGACGUUUAUUGGGCCUAAAGCAUCCGUAGCUGGCUGGACAAGUCCCCUGUUAAACCCACCGAUUUAAUCGUUGGUCUGCGGGGGAUACUGCUCGGCUAGGGGACGAGAGAGGCAGACGGUAUUCCCGGGGUAGGGGUGAAAUCCUAUAAUCCCGAGAAGACCACCAGUGGCGAAGGCUGUCUGCUAGAACGCGCCCGACGGUGAGGGAUGAAAGCUGGGGGAGCGAACCGGAUUAGAUACCCGGGUAGUCCCAGCUGUAAACGAUGCAGACUAGGUGUUUGGACGGCCACGUGCCGCUCUAGUGCCGCAGGGAAGCUGUUAAGUCUGCCGCCUGGGGAGUACGAUCGCAAGGUUGAAACUUAAAGGAAUUGGCGGGGGAGC
rnacentral:rRNA from 1 species